rnacentral:lncRNA from 1 species
ACUUCUCUCGUUCCUUCGAAAGGACUUAGUCGGCGCCGAUUUAGACAUUCUACUCCAUGUAUAGUUUUAUUUUUUUUAUUUUCUCCUGCUCGAUUUACUUGGAUUGUUAAUGUUUGAGUUCAUAUGCAAGGGUGUAGUUGGAAUGGAGAGUGGCAAGGUUCCUAUGGUGCAAGUAAUGAAGAUAAAGGUUGGAGCUCACAUCCUAA